CGGCCGCGCCUUGCCCAAGCGGCCGCUCCUGGUUUUCCGCGGGGCCGGGAGGGGGCGGGGCAGUGGGCGGGGCUCCGGAUUUGAGUCCGAUUUGGGGAGUGGCGCGAGUUAGGAACUGGCUGGAAGAUGGGGUGUGUGUGCGUAUAUGGGAGCGAGGAAAGCGCUGUAGGAAGCAUGCAGGCCGCUUUAUUUUACAGCUGUGGGAGUGGUGGACAAGGGCGGCGGCUCUGCGAGAAGCACGUGGGCGCGGCGGGCCGCCUCAGGGAUGGAGUAGGCUGUGGUCUUGCCAACUCCCGUUAUCAAAGGCCCAAGGACGCCAUUCACUCAGCCCCGGGCGGGCGUGGGUCUGGGGGCCGGAAACCCGAAGUCCUGUGGGUGCCGUGGAAUGCACGAGCAGCCGGCGGAGCAAACCUGCCCCAUAGAUUUUUCUAAACCGUUCGCCACAGAAACGCUACUCUGUCUUCUCUGACCGACUCUGUGCACUGCAGCCUUGCACAAAGAAAACAGGAGAAAACCAAAUACAGCAAGAAUGAGAGAAAUUGCACUGUUGCAUUAAAAAGAAUUUUCCUGCCGGGCGCAGUGACUCACGCCUGUAAUCUCAGCACUUGGGGAGGCCGAGGCGGGUGGAUCACGAGGUCAAGAGAUCAAGACCAUCCUCGCCAACAUGGUGAAACCCCGUCUCUACUAAAAAUACAAAAAAUUAGCCGGGUGUGGUGGCGGAUGCCUGUAGUCCCAGCUACUCAAGAAGCUGAGGCAGGAGAAUCACUUGGACCCUGGAGGCAGAGGUUGCAGUGAGCCGAGAUUUCGCCACUGCACUCCAGCCUGGCGACAUAAUGAGACUCUGUCUUAAAAAAAAAAAAAAAAGGAAUUUUCCUCUCACUUUCUUCUCACCACUACUAGAUUAAAGGAGCCCCCUUUUCUUCUGCAGGUGAGAGGUGACAGCGUGCUGGCAGUCCUCACAGCCCUCGCUCGCUCUCAGCGCCUCCUCUGCCUGGGCUCCCACUUCGGCGGCACUUUAGGAGCCCUUCAGCCCACCACUGCACUGUGGGAGCCCCUUUCUGGGCUGGCCAAGGCCGGGGCCGGCUCCCUCAGCUUGCAGGGAGGUGUGGAGAGAGAGGCGCGAGCGGGAACCGGGGCUGCGCGCGUGGCUUGAGGGCCAGCUGGAGUUCCGGGUGGGCGUGGGCUUGGCGGCCCAGCACUCGGAGCAGCCCCCUGCCGGUCCCGGGCAAUGAGGGGCUUAGCACCCAGGCCAGCGGCUGCGGAGGGUGUACUGGGUCCCCCAGCAGUGCCGGCCCACCGGUGCUGCACUCGAUUUCUCGCCGGGCAGGGCUCGGGACCUGCAGCCCACCAUGCCUGAGCCUCCCACCCCCUCCGUGGGCUCGUGUGCGGCCGGAGCCUCCCCUAGGAGCGCCGCCCCCUGCUCCAGGGCGCCCAGUCCCAUCGACCACCCAAGGGCUGAGGAGUGCCGGCGCACGGCGCGGGACUGGCAGGCAGCUCCACCUGCAGCCCCAUUGCGCGAUCCACUGGGUGAAGCCAGCUGGGCUUCUGAGUCUGGUGGGGAUGUGGAGAAGCUUUAUGUCUAGCUCAGGGAUUGUAAAUAUACCAAUCGGCACUCUGUAUCUAGCUCAAGGUUUGUAAACACACCAAUCAGCACCCCUGUCUAGCUCAGGGUUUGUGAAUGCAAUCGACACUCUGUAUCUAGCUACUCUGGUGGGGACUUGGAGAACCUUUGUGUGGACACUCUGUAUCUAGCUAAUCUGGUGGGGACGUGGAGAACCUUUAUAUCUAGCUCAGGGAUUGUAAACACACCAAUCAGCGCCCUGUCAAAACAGACCACUCAGCUCUACCAAUCAGCAGGAUGUGGGUGGGGCCAGAUAAGAGAAUAAAAGCAGGCUGCCCAUGCCAGGAGUGGCAACCUGCUCGGGUCCCAUUCCACACUAUGGGAGCUUUGUUCCUUCACUCUUUGCAAUAAAUCUUGCUGCUGCUCACUCUUUGGGUCCACACUGCCUUUAUGAGCUGUAACACUCACUGCGAAGGUCUGCAGCUUCACCACGAACCCACCGGGAGGAACGAACAACUCCAGAUGCGCCGCCUUAGGAGCUGUAACACUCGCCGCGAAGGUCCGUGGCUUCACUCCUGAGCCAGCGAGACCACGAAGCCCACCAGAAGGAAGAAAUUCCGAACACAUCCGAACAUCAGAAGGAACAAACUCUGGACACGCCACCUUUAGGAACUGUAACACUCACCGCGAGGAUCCGCGGCUUCAUUCUUGAAGUCAGUGAGACCAAGAACCCACUAAUUCCGGACACACAGGGACAGCAAUCCACUGCUUGCCUUGAUGUACGAUUGAAGCCUAUCACCCCUUCUGCAGCAGUGGCUCCAGAGAGCAUCAGUAAAGAUGGCAAGAUUGAAAUCCAAGCAACAGAAUUUCCACUGAAUAGAAAUUUCUGAGGAAAGUGUAAGGACAGGUGUGAGAAUUCUGGUGGCAAGGAUGAGGAAGCAUCCCCCUUCCCAAACAGGAAAGAAGAGCCAAGAGACCUGAAAAGGAGCUGGAGCCAAGAAGGUGAAAAGGAGCGAGACCACAUUUGGCCUAUCAGAAAUAAGGAAAACUUUUUCUAUCCAUCUUUAAUAUGGGAAGAAUACUUUUAUGUAAUUUACUUGAUAUAAAUUGACAUCAUAGGACAUGGGGAAGAAAGGAUGCUUUGAAGAUGCAAGGUUCUUGCCCUGUCACCGAAUAAUGCAGUGGUUAUCAAAGCUCAUAACAGCCUCAAACUCCUGGGCUCAAGCAAUCCUCCACCACAUCCUCCUGAGUAUCUGGGACUACA
rnacentral:lncRNA from 10 species